rnacentral:lncRNA from 1 species
UAUGAUCUUUGAGAAUUAGAUUGCUUUUAAAAAAACAUUAUGCUGAGCUUUUAUAUAGUAAAGCACCUUAACAAUAAACAUCCUCAGCUAAUAAUGUAUGUGUACUGGUCCGAAAAUUAUCUCCCCUGUCAAACAGGCUAAAGGGAGAUAAUUGUCUAUUCAAUGUUAAUUUUCUAUAAUUAAAUGGUUUGAAAGAAACAUCAUUUAUAAUUCUUAUUAUAAGAAAUAUUAGUCAAAUGUAAAUGUAACGAGUUCUCACUUUGGUUGUUUAUAUAUAUGUGACCCUUUUUAAU